rnacentral:rRNA from 1 species
AGCCUACGGGUGGCUGCAGUGGGGAAUCUUAGACAAUGGGGGAAACCCUGAUCUAGCCAUGCCGCGUGAGCGAUGAAGGCCUUAGGGUUGUAAAGCUCUUUCAGCUGGGAAGAUAAUGACGGUACCAGCAGAAGAAGCCCCGGCUAACUCCGUGCCAGCAGCCGCGGUAAUACGGAGGGGGCUAGCGUUGUUCGGAAUUACUGGGCGUAAAGCGCACGUAGGCGGACUGGAAAGUUGGGGGUGAAAUCCCGGGGCUCAACCCCGGAACUGCCUUCAAAACUCCCAGUCUGGAGUUCGAGAGAGGUGAGUGGAAUUCCGAGUGUAGAGGUGAAAUUCGUAGAUAUUCGGAGGAACACCAGUGGCGAAGGCGGCUCACUGGCUCGAUACUGACGCUGAGGUGCGAAAGCGUGGGGAGCAAACAGGAUUAGAUACCCGGGUAGUCA